ACUUGCACGUUCACUCAUAUAUGCUACUUCUACUCCGGAAGUACCAUCCACAUAUAUCCACCCAUUUCCAUCUCCAGGACCACCCAAAAAUAUUCUACUCCUAAUCCGGGAGAGAAUAGCCAAAAAUAUUUUUGUUUUUCCCUUGUGAAAUAAAUGCUCAAGUUAUCUCGUUACUACCACUUGCUAUAUUAUCUCAAGAGAUGAGUGCUCUAAAAAAAAGAAGAAAAAAAAAUAAUAAAUACGAGAAAAUAAAAAGGAGCAAGUGCUCGGAACCUUGAAAGAAAAGAAAAAGUGAGACGAGAGAUAAAAAUGGACAAGUGUCCGACAGUAGAAUUAGGGGUACAAGAUACCCACCUGAGAGAAAAGAAAAAAAAUAUAGAGCAUCUCUUUCUCCUCAUAAAGUUUCAAAAAGCAAGGAAGGUAUGUAUCCCCUCAAAAGAGCAAAAGUAGAAUUAGACUUCCACCAUUGUUAUCACCAUCAUCACCAUACACCAUUCAUUCGCCACACAUGCACAUCUUGAUUUGGCUUAUUGAUUUGUUUCUUUGGAUCCAUAGUUUGACUAUGCAAUACAUGUCUUGUGAGUAUGUAUACUUUAUCUCCCACCUAUGAGCUCCAGAUAUUAAAGCCUUAUUAGAGUAGGGUAAGAGAGAAGGCAAUGUCACUAUGCUUAAUACCAUAAAUACUACAUAUCUUGAGAGAAGGCAUAUACCAUCACUGCCUUGGUAAGGAUCCAUAAAUACCACAAAAGAGAGAUCUGAGAGAAUCAUACAAGGAAUCUCUGAGUUUUAUUUGAAAAUUUGCAAAAACCCCAGAGCUAUAGCUGAUCAAGAAUAAGAGACAUGGCACUUGGCUAGACUGUUCUAUCUUUUAACCACUCAAGACAGAAGUGACGGUUACAGGUCCCAUGGUGAAAGGUAAAGUAAGUAAGUUUUAAGUCUUGACAGUUUACUCUAACUCAGAGAUGAGAUCUUAUUUAAAAAGCAUGUGUACCGUCAAUUCUUUUUAAAAUAUUGCAACAACUUAUGAUCCAUAGCUGAGUCUAUCCUUGCUCAGGGACGAGCAAGAGGUAAGCUUGGGGGAGUUUGUUGAUGGUCCUUAAGUAUCAAAUUUAAUUAUUAAAUAAAUAAACAAAAGGAUCCAAAUGAAAUCAACAUCUAGACUUAGGGUUUCAUCUGAGAGAAUUCCACGAGUUUUGGUGUUUGUCUAUUUCUGCAGGGGGUUAUGAGGAAAUACGGAAGAAAGGCCCACAUGUCAGGAUUACAUAGAGAUAUUAAUGUGCUGCGCAAUUAUCUUACAUCUAGAAGACUCCAGAAGCCACGAGACCGAAGCGGAGGCGAAACGGGGCCUGACCCUGGGUGCCCGCCCAGGUGAUCAGGGCGCCCGCCCACCUCCUGAGUCCAAUCAGGACUCUGCUUCGCGGGAGAUCUCCACCGACCUAAAGGAUGAAUCUAAACCAUACAAUCUAUGUCGGUUUGAUCCAACGGCCCAUAUUCACUUGAAGGGACUAUAAAACCAGACCCCCUGGCCCCUGGAGGAGAGAGCCUCUCAACCCUAAUUCAUUGUUCUUCAAGGGAGAUGAAGCCUCUGAUCAAGAUUAGAGCCACCACAUCAAUUAGAUAUCUAGAUUAGCAUAGCUACAUAGGAUUAGAGCUAGAAGGAGUCAAUCUUCGAUUGGUUUCCGGAUCUGUCAGGAGGAUUCUUGGUAAUUCUCUAAUUGUGCUUCUAAUUACUUUCUAAUUAUCUUUGUUCUUCAAUAUUAUGAAUAUGACUUUGUUCUACUUCAAUAUAUUGCUUAUGACUUUGCUCUACUUGCUUAUAUUCAAGAUUAUAUUGUUCUUAGUUUAUCAUAGUUAUGUACUUGGCUUAGUUAGAUUGGAUCUAUAUACAUGUUUAGGAUCGUAUAGCGUUUAUCCAUCGGAUCCAUGGGUAAAUGAUAGAUAUUGUGUAGGCGUGGUGCUUAUACCGUAUUUAUCUGCGAUUGUACCCAAUAUGCCAGAUCGUGGGGUGGUUCGUGAUAGUGACAGCUUCAUUGAUUCUUAUAUAGUCCCCCUCUCGUGUAUUGGGCUGGCAGAGCAACAUUAUUACAGGAGAGUGAUUGCUAUGUUUCUCAUAUUCCUUGCUAAUAUCACUAUGCAUGGGCGUAGUCUUGUCUCGCAAUGAUUGCUAAGUAUGCUUGCACUAAUUAUGAUAAUGCUAGACUAUAUAGUUGAGAAUAACUUAGGGAAUAUUCUUGUAGUUCGUUCUAAUACCAUGCUAAUGACUUUCUAGAGUAUCUAAUUGAGAUGCUUAUCAUAUUUAUUAUGUGGCUAGAUCAGAUUAGUUAUCCUUGUCACUAUUAUUAUUUCAUAUAUCUUUUAUGUGACACUUAUCCCUGUAUGAAGAGUUAGAUAUAAUGUUCUCAAUUAUACAUGCAAUGAUAGAUGCUCAAUCUCAUAUUCUAUUCUGUAAUCAAUAUUGAUGAUUGCUAAUCCCUUCCCAGUGGUAAAAAUAUAAAUAACGAUACCUGGAAUACUUCCCGCUUAAAAUGCUGCACCGGUAUUAAUCUGUGCGCUUGCAGAUCCCAUUCAUUAUUUAGAGAACUUAGUCUACUUUUGGUAAUGAUGAUAAGAAUACCCAACAAGCAUUUUUGGCGCCGUUGUCGGGGAAGCUUGAUUACUAAUCAGGAAUGGAAUAAAAGAUUUUGAGUUAUCAUUCGCAUCACUAGUACGAUUGAGCUUAUCUAUUCUCUUAUACAGUUUUACCCCGAUAUUUUUCUAUUUUAUCUUAUGCAGUGGAAUGUAUGAAUAGAAGACAUCUUCCAGGAAAUUUUGUUGACAAUCCUGAAGCAUUAUUCAAGAAGACGAGAGCCAAGCUCAAGAAGAGAUCAUCAAUACUUCAGCAAGAAGCUUCAUCCAAUCAAGAAGAUCACCGGAACUUGUGUUCAGAGUUCGAGGCCAUGGCGACUAAAUCAAUCCGCGAGUUCUUAGCUCUCACUACGGACAACAUCCGCACUGGACCUGCUGCAGAGAUCGAUGGCAACUUUGAGCUCAAGCCUGGACUUAUCAACAUGGUGCAAUCCAACCAGUUCUGUGGGAAGGCACAUGAAGAUGCUAGUGCUCAUUUACAACACUUCCUAGAGAUUUGCAACACAUUCACCAUAUCAGGAGUUUUCAAAGAUGCUAUACUACUUCGCCUCUUCCCAUUCUCACUGUUAGGAAGAGCGAAGCAGUGGUUCUACGCUACAAAGGAGAAGAACACUACGUGGGCACUCUGCUCAACAAACUUUCUGGCAAAGUUCUUUCCCAUGGGCAAGACCAAUGCUCUCCGUGGGAAGAUUACAAGUUUUCAGCAACAAAAUGAUGAAUCUGUUCCAGAAGCAUGGGAGCGCUUUCAAGACUACAUCCUAGAAUGUCCCCAUCAUGGAAUGGAGAGUUGGCUAUUGAUGCAGACGUUUUAUUAUGGGCUCGGCAAUAGUGCCCGAGAAACCAUGGAUGCUGCAGCUGGAGGACCAUUCUUAUCACUUACUAUACCACAAGCCAUAGCUCUUGUGGAGAAGAUGGCGUCCAAUCAAAGCUGGAAUGAAGAGAGGACCCAGACACGCAAGAGAGGUGGAGGUAUGCAUCAGCUGAAGGAGGUAGACAUGCUGUCUGCAAAGCUAGACCUGCUCAUGAAGAAGCUCGACGAUAGGGCUGGAGACAAGAAGGAAGUUAUGCACAUCUACGACUCUCACAUGACUUGUGAGGAGUGUGGAGACACUAGACACUCAGGCAACCACUGCCCUGAGAUACUUGAGGAUGUGAACUACAUCAAUAACAACAACAACUACUACAACCGUCCUCAACAAAAUCAUAGUUGGAAUCAACAGAGGCCUAACUACUCAGGUAAUUAUCAAGGUAACAAUUCUUACAACAAUAAUAAUAAUUUUCCACCUUUGAGAGAGUUAGUGUCUAAUCAAGGAAAGCUAAUGGAUAACCUAUCUAAGAAAUUGGCAUCUAAUGAUAAAAUGCUAGAAAAUAUAAAUAAUAGAAUGGAUAAUUUCUCUACUGCCAUCAAGAAUCAAAUUAGCUUUAACAAAAUGAUUGAAUCUCAGUUAAAUCAAAUAGCUGCUGUUGUUCAUGCUACUAACCCCGGUAUACCAUCACAACCGGAAGGAUUAGAAUCUGCAAAUCUUGUAGACAUGUUUGAUGCAGGUAAUAAUUGGAGUAACCCCGUCACUGAAUUCAAUACUGACCUUCUGCCGGUCAAGAGAGGUGAUCCAGGACGCCCCGUCAUCCCGAUCUCCAUCGGCAUGGUGGACGUUCCCGAAGCACUCUGCGACUUUGGCUCCAGUAUCAACAUUAUACCCAGGGUACUCUAUGAAAUAUUCUUUACAUAUCCUUUAUUAGAAACAACCAUGUGUUUGCAGUUUGCAGAUCAGACGAUAACUUUUCCAAAAGGAAUCGUGAAGAACCUUUGCGUCCGAGUUGGUACCUUGUAUGCCCCAGCAUACUUCGUAGUGGUAGAGACCGGAAAUGAUGAGAGAGCACCUAUCAUCUUAGGGAGGCCAUUCUUGAACACCACGAGAGCUAUCAUCUACGCUAGUACUGUCAAGAUCAGUUUCUACAUCAAAGGGAGGAAGGAGACAAUUUUCUUCAAGAACAAGACUACACAAAUUCCAGAUCAAUCCAGACGUGAGUCAAGGAAGAGGACCAACAGGAGGAACAGGAACAAGCAAGUAUGGACCGAGUCAGCUAAGAUGGUCACUGCAGUUCAUGGAGGCCAAGAUCACCAACUUAUGUCACCGCUUUUGACCAAGAAGGACGACCCAGGAAUGCCAAGCAUCUACUGCUCCAUAAAUGGAUACAACUUCUACAAGGCAACUUGUGACACCGGAUCGGGCGUCAACAUAAUGGCCGCAGUCACCUAUCGGCUCUUGUUCGGAACCAAGCCCCUACGACCAACAUACAUUCAGCUCCAGAUGGCAGAUCAGACAUUUCGAGAAGUUAAAGGAAUAGUAACUGAUGUCCUAGUCAAAAUAGACGAUCAUUUUGUCUACACAGACUUUCAAGUUAUUGACAUGGGAGAAGACGAGUACGAUCCACCCAUCAUCCUUGGAAGACCGUUCCUCAGCACCGUUAAAGCAAUCAUCUACAUUGGAACCGGAGAAGUCCAUAUGCACUUCCCCUCAGAGAAGGUACGCCGUUAUUUUCCUGACCCUAACUAUAUCGUUGAAGAAUCUAAGCAGGUAAGGAAAAGACGCAACCGCAACCAGAGGAGGCAGAUCAUCAAGGACGGAUGGGCAGACUAUGAAGGAGAAGUUGUAAGGUCAGAAGACGUAGGGUUUAAACAGAAUUAUCCAGAGGAGACGGAAGCACCAAGUCAGGUAUGGAAAAUGAAGAUAAUUAUACAUGAAGAGGAGGCACUGCCGGAAGUACCGACUCCGCCAACCAACGAACCUCAGGACAAUUGAAAAAAUGGAGAGUCCCGUUCGGAGGACUUAAAAACACCGAACGCCUUGCCAAGAGGUAAAAUUGGUAGUUAUCCUUUCCCUUUCAAUUAUUUCAAAUAGUUUACUUAGUUAAUUAUAUUCGUAUUAUCUUAAAAAGAAAAUAAAAAUAUGAAAAACAGUAAGCCCCAUGUGAGUAUGCGAGUGGCAUAAAACCCAUAAGUACAUUCACUGUGGUGGCAUAAAAAUAAAAUAAAUAUUUUUCUGCUUUAUAAAAUGAAAAUAUAAAAACAGGGAGUAAUAAUUAUUAAGGAGUCUCAACAUGAUAAAGGCUAGAUAUUUAUGCUAACACUUAAUCAGUUCCACAAGCUUUGUUGUCUAUUUGAGCUCCACAGAAUUUAAGAAUCAAGAAGACUAGCAGACGGAGGACAUUCUAAUCGCUGUCAGAAUGCUGCUGACUUUCAAAUACACCUCUGCCGCCUUCUAGCUACAUCAAGAAAAAUUACGUCAAAAUUCAGCUUGGGGGAGAGCACCCCCAUUUAUCUCGAUAAGUAUUUCUAUCUAUCUUUAUACUUAUAUUAUAUUAGAAUAUUAAAAUACAUAAACUAUGAAAAAUGAAAUAAGGAUUUUAUGGUUAUAUAUAUAUCUUUUGCUUAGUGCGAUUAAUAAAUAAAUAAAUAAAGUGGCUAUGCUAAUCUGUAUCUAAAUAAAACUUAAGCAUGGAUAUGAUGAAUAGUUGCUCUGCCUAAUUUGUAUAUUUUAAGUUCUCUCUCAAGUUUAGACAUAACUGUUAUAAUUUAAAGCUUGCUCUAGACCUAAACUUGUGGGAUGAAAACUUGAUCUGAAGUCUAAGUUGUUAACUGAUACGAUAUGGGAAGGUUGAGCUGCUGUUUAUCUGUACCUAGAGAUGCUAGAAUUCUGGAGAAUUUUAUCUUUGAAAAUCUUUAAAAUGUUGCAUGAUGAGUUCCUGUAUGAUGAGAGUUUAAAUUCCUACCACAGCCAUAUAUACAUGCUUGCUAGACUUUGAGCCACACAUUUAAUAUUUACUGCUUAUGAGCAUUGAGUGUGGUCAAGCUGUGUAGACCCUUAGGAGCUUGUCAUGUGGUUAAAUCAAGAUUUCACUUGCACGUUCACUCAUAUAUGCUACUUCUACUCCGGAAGUACCAUCCACAUAUAUCCACCCAUUUCCAUCUCCAGGACCACCCAAAAAUAUUCUACUCCUAAUCCGGGAGAGAAUAGCCAAAAAUAUUUUUGUUUUUCCCUUGUGAAAUAAAUGCUCAAGUUAUCUCGUUACUACCACUUGCUAUAUUAUCUCAAGAGAUGAGUGCUCUAAAAAAAAGAAGAAAAAAAAAUAAUAAAUACGAGAAAAUAAAAAGGAGCAAGUGCUCGGAACCUUGAAAGAAAAGAAAAAGUGAGACGAGAGAUAAAAAUGGACAAGUGUCCGACAGUAGAAUUAGGGGUACAAGAUACCCACCUGAGAGAAAAGAAAAAAAAUAUAGAGCAUCUCUUUCUCCUCAUAAAGUUUCAAAAAGCAAGGAAGGUAUGUAUCCCCUCAAAAGAGCAAAAGUAGAAUUAGACUUCCACCAUUGUUAUCACCAUCAUCACCAUACACCAUUCAUUCGCCACACAUGCACAUCUUGAUUUGGCUUAUUGAUUUGUUUCUUUGGAUCCAUAGUUUGACUAUGCAAUACAUGUCUUGUGAGUAUGUAUACUUUAUCUCCCACCUAUGAGCUCCAGAUAUUAAAGCCUUAUUAGAGUAGGGUAAGAGAGAAGGCAAUGUCACUAUGCUUAAUACCAUAAAUACUACAUAUCUUGAGAGAAGGCAUAUACCAUCACUGCCUUGGUAAGGAUCCAUAAAUACCACAAAAGAGAGAUCUGAGAGAAUCAUACAAGGAAUCUCUGAGUUUUAUUUGAAAAUUUGCAAAAACCCCAGAGCUAUAGCUGAUCAAGAAUAAGAGACAUGGCACUUGGCUAGACUGUUCUAUCUUUUAACCACUCAAGACAGAAGUGACGGUUACAGGUCCCAUGGUGAAAGGUAAAGUAAGUAAGUUUUAAGUCUUGACAGUUUACUCUAACUCAGAGAUGAGAUCUUAUUUAAAAAGCAUGUGUACCGUCAAUUCUUUUUAAAAUAUUGCAACAACUUAUGAUCCAUAGCUGAGUCUAUCCUUGCUCAGGGACGAGCAAGAGGUAAGCUUGGGGGAGUUUGUUGAUGGUCCUUAAGUAUCAAAUUUAAUUAUUAAAUAAAUAAACAAAAGGAUC
rnacentral:lncRNA from 1 species